rnacentral:tRNA from 1 species
GCCGGGAUGGUCUAAUCGGUUAAGACGUCGUCCCGGAUAGGCGAAAGUUGCGGGUUCGAUCCCCGCUCCUGUCC